ensembl:lncRNA uncharacterized LOC115602234
GGGGCCUGUCGCCAGGACAACGGGUCAGCGGCGGGGGACUGGGCUUGAAGCUGGAUGUGAAAAGGAGCCACGUCACAGCCACAGCCCCAGUCUGGGCCCGGAUGGGGGUGAGCAGUGACAUGGACCUCCUCGAGUGCAGAACACCGUGCGCCCCGAAGACUUCCCUGUGGGAAAACAGCUGCAAAACUGCUCGUGAUUAUUCAUCCUCCCAAUAAACACAUGGAGGGAAAACCCUGGCAAAGAUAUUCCUCCGUUAUAUACACCCUCCU